AUACAACACCUAUUGCUACAACACAUCUGAACACCACAACACUCACAGCUACUUCACCAACCACUCUAAAAAAUUCAACACUCAUCACUACUACACCCACAGCUACACCGACCACCGCAGUCACCAAUUCAACAUAUAUUGCAACAACAGAUUUAAACACAACAUUCACAGCAACACAACCAUCAAUUGUAACAAGUAAGUACUUUAAAAUAAUGGAAUAGGUUAAUCAUCUUCAGUAAAAAAAUAAAAAUAAAAUAAAAAUCGGUCUCAAUAGGAAAGAACACAAAAAUCAAUCAA